rnacentral:ncRNA from 1 species
AACGUCGCAAGACAGUUCGGUCCCUAUCUGUGGUGGGCGUUAGUAAAUUGAGUGGACAUGACCUUAGUACGAGAGGACCGGGUCGUACGUACCGCUGGUGUAUCUGUUGUGCCGCCAGGUGCAAUGCAGAGUAGCUAUGUACGGACAGGAUAAACGCUGAAAGCAUCUAAGCGUGAAACCUUCCACAAGAUGAGUUUACUUUUAAGGGUCGUCGCAGACUACGACGUUGAUAGGCUACAGGUCUAAAGGUGGUAACAUCAAAGCCGAGUAGUACUAAUUGCCCGUAAGCUUUAAUUUU